CCUACGGGAGGCAGCAGCAAGGAAUUUUCCGCAAUGGGCGCAAGCCUGACGGAGCGACGCCGCGUGGAGGAUGACGCCCUUCGGGGUGUAAACUCCUUUUCGGGGGGACGAAGGCAGUGACGGUACCCCCGGAAGAAGCACCGGCUAACUACGUGCCAGCAGCCGCGGUAAU
rnacentral:rRNA from 1 species